rnacentral:rRNA from 1 species
GGGUAGCCGGCCUGAGAGGGUGGACGGCCACAUUGGGACUGAGAUACGGCCCAGACUCCUACGGGAGGCAGCAGUGGGGAAUAUUGCACAAUGGGCGCAAGCCUGAUGCAGCGACGCCGCGUGGGGGAUGACGGCCUUCGGGUUGUAAACUCCUUUCAGCCAUGACGAAGCCCUUGUGGGGUGACGGUAGUGGUAGAAGAAGCACCGGCUAACUACGUGCCAGCAGCCGCGGUAAUACGUAGGGUGCGAGCGUUGUCCGGAAUCACUGGGCGUAAAGAGCUCGUAGGUGGUCUGUCGCGUCAUUUGUGAAAGCCCGGGGCUUAACUCCGGGUUGGCAGGUGAUACGGGCAUGACUGGAGUACUGUAGGGGAGACUGGAAUUCCUGGUGUAGCGGUGAAAUGCGCAGAUAUCAGGAGGAACACCGGUGGCGAAGGCGGGUCUCUGGGCAGUAACUGACGCUGAGGAGCGAAAGCAUGGGUAGCGAACAGGAUUAGAUACCCUGGUAGUCCAUGCCGUAAACGGUGGGCGCUAGGUGUGGGUUUCCUUCCACGGGAUCCGUGCCGUAGCUAACGCAUUAAGCGCCCCGCCUGGGGAGUACGGCCGCAAGGUUAAAACUCAAAGGAAUUGACGGGGGCCCGCACAAGCGGCGGAGCAUGUGGAUUAAUUCGAUGCAACGCGAAGAACCUUACCUGGGCUUGACAUGCACUGGAUGCGGCCAGAGAUGGUUGUUCCCUUUGUGGCUGGUGUGCAGGUGGUGCAUGGUUGUCGUCAGCUCGUGUCGUGAGAUGUUGGGUUAAGUCCCGCAACGAGCGCAACCCUUGUCUCGUGUUGCCAGCAUUUGGUUGGGGACUCGCGGGAGACUGCCGGGGUUAACUCGGAGGAAGGUGGGGAUGACGUCAAAUCAUCAUGCCCCUUAUGUCCAGGGCUUCACACAUGCUACAAUGGCUGGUACAGAGAGUUGCGAUACCGUGAGGUGGGGCUAAUCUCGUAAAGCCAGUCUCAGUUCGGAUUGGAGUCUGCAACUCGACUCCAUGAAGUCGGAGUCGCUAGUAAUCGCAGAUCAG